rnacentral:rRNA from 1 species
GACGAACGCUGGCGGCGUGCUUAACACAUGCAAGUCGAACGGAAAGGCCUGCUUUCCCUUGUGGAUUGCGGGUACUCGAGUGGCGAACGGGUGAGUAACACGUGAGUGAUCUGCCCCCAACUUGGGUAUAAGCCUGGGAAACUGGGUCUAAUUCCCGAUAGGACUGCAGGGUGGUGCCUGUGGUGGAAAACGAUUUUCUAGUGGUUGGGGAUGAGCUCGCGGCCUAUCAGCUUGUGGGUGGGGUAAUGGCCUACCAAGGCGGCGACGGGUAGCCGGCCUGAGAGGGUGGACGGCCACAUUGGGACUGAGAUACGGCCCAGACUCCUACGGGAGGCAGCAGUGGGGAAUAUUGCACAAUGGGCGGAAGCCUGAUGCAGCGACGCCGCGUGGGGGAUGACGGCCUUCGGGUUGUAAACUCCUUUCGACCGCGAGGAAGCCACCUGGUUGGAAGGGUGGUGACGGUAGUGGUAGAAGAAGCACCGGCUAACUACGUG